rnacentral:sRNA from 1 species
CGCGGGGGCCGGCCGAGAGGAAAGCUGGAGGCGCGGGUGGGGAACAUGUCGGAGUCAGAGCUCGGCAGGAAGUGGGACCGGUGCCUGGCGGAUGCGGUCGUGAAGAUAGAAUCCUGGUAAUUGAUGUCCACCCGAGCAAUCCCUGCAGAUGUUCCAGCCUCUGUCUAGUCCCGAUAGCCACAGGAAGGGUACUGGUUUUGGAUUAGGAAUUGUUUUCUCACUUACCUUCUUUAAAAGAAGAAUGUGGCCAUUAGCCUUUGGUUCCGGCAUGGGAUUAGGAAUGGCUUAUUCCAACUGUCAGCAUGAUUUCCAGGCUCCAUAUCUUCUACAUGGAAAAUAUGUCAAAGAGCAGGAGCAGUGACUUCACCUGAGAACAUCCCAGCGGGAGGACAAGAGAAAUCAUGUUUAUUCCUCAGGAAUACUGAAGUGCCCUGGAGUAAGCUGCCAUUCUUCUGUAACAGCGUUAUCAGUAAUGCUUUAAACUCCAGCACCUGGUUAUGUAUUUGAAACCAAGUCUGUUUCUUGUUUUGUAUUUUCUCUCUGGAAGUUAUAAGGAGGUGGUCUUAAAUAAAUUAAACAAAAA